UACAGAGGUCUCAACCGUUGUUCGGAUUCAUUGGGCGUAAAGGGUGCGUAGGCGGCGGGGUAAGUCAGGUGUGAAAUCUCGGGGCUCAACCCCGAAACUGCACUUGAUACUGCCUCGCUUGAGUACUGGAGAGGAGACUGGAAUUUACGGUGUAGCAGUGAAAUGCGUAGAUAUCGGGAGGAAUACCGAUGGCGAAGGCAGGUCUCUGGGCUGACACUGACGCUCAUGCACGAAAGCGUGGGGAGCAAACAGG
rnacentral:rRNA from 1 species